CCUACGGGCGGCAGCAGUGAGGAAUAUUGGUCAAUGGGCGCGAGCCUGAACCAGCCAAGUCGCGUGAAGGAUGACUGCCCUACGGGUUGUAAACUUCUUUUAUAAAGGAAUAAAGUGAGGCACGUGUGCCUUUUUGUAUGUACUUUAUGAAUAAGGAUCGGCUAACUCCGUGCCAGCAGCCGCGGUAAUACGGAGGAUUCGAGCGUUAUCCGGAUUUAUUGGGUUUAAAGGGAGCGUAGGUGGGUUGUUAAGUCAGUUGUGAAAGUUUGGGGCUCAACCGUAAAAUUGCCAUUGAUACUGGAAGUCUUGAGUACAGUUGAGGUAGGCGGAAGGCGUGGUGUAGCGGUGAAAUGCUUAGAUAUCACGCAGAACUCCGAUUGCGAAGGCAGCUUACUAAACUGCCACUGACACUGAUGCACGAAAGUGUGGGUAUCAAACAGGAUUAGAUACCCGAGUAGUC
rnacentral:rRNA from 1 species